rnacentral:lncRNA from 1 species
CCAUCUUUGACUUUUGAUGUCGCCACCGUCCGAAUUCGUGCGGUCCAUGUUAACGUUAGCACUUAGAAUGCCCUCCCAUCAUUGCACAGCGCCGCGAAUUCCUCAAGUUGACUGACGAUUAAUUGAAAAACGGAGUGCCCUUGCUGUUAGGCACUGAAUAAUAAUACAUCUCGCGAUAUAAUACCGACUAAACAAUUUCUA